CACAGAGAGAUUGAUGUGUGGUGAUGAGCGGGGUACGGGUGAGUAAUGUCUGGGAAUCUGCGUGGUGGACGGGGAUAAACAGUGGAUACGGUAGUUAAUCCCUCAUUUCGUCGCAAGAACAAAGUGGAAGCGUGGGCGUCAUUCCAUCAGAUGUGCCCAGAUGGGAUUAUAUUGUAGGUGGGGUAAGGUCUCACAUAGGAGAAGAUCUAUAGGUGGUGUGAGAGGAUUACCACCCACUGUGGAUGUGAGACGCGGUCCAGUCUCAUGGGGGAGGCAGCAGUGGGGAAUUUUGCACAAUGGGAGCAAGCGUGAUGCAGCCAUGCCGUGAGUGUGAAGAAGUUUUUGGGGUUGUAAAGCACUUUCAGGGGGGAGGAAGGGGGGGAAGUAAAUUGCUUCUUCGAUUGACGUUUCUCCAGCAGGAAAAAAGCACCGGUUAAUUCGGUGCCCACCAGCCGCGGUAAUACGGAGGGUCCAAGGGUUAAGGGGAAUUUUUGGGGGUAAAGCGCAGCACAGGCGGUUUGUCAAUUUGAAUGUGAAAUCCCCGGGGUAAGCGUGGGAAGGUCCCAUUGGAAGUUGGCAGGUUAGAGUCAGGUAGAGGGGGGUAGAAUUCCAGGUGUAGCGGUGAAAUGGGUAGAAAUUGGAAGGAAACCGGUGGGGAAGGCGGCCCCCUGUACAAAGACUGACGCUCAGGUGAGAAAGCGUGGGGAGCAACCAGGAUUAGAUACCCUUGUAGUCCACGGUGUAAACGAUGUCGAUUAGGAGGUUGUGCCCUGGAGGCGUGGGUGCCGGAGCUAACGCGUUAAAUCACCGCCUGGGGAGUGCGGCCGCAAGGUUAAAACUCAAAUGAAUUGACGGGGGCCCGCACAAGCGGUGGAGCAUGUGGUUUAAUUGGAUGCAACGCGAAGAACCUUACCUGGUCUUGACAUCCACAGAACUUUCCAGAGAUGAUUUGGUUCCUUCGGGAACUGUGAGACAGGUGUUGCAUGGCUGUCGUCAGCUCGUGUUGUGAAAUGUUGGGUUAAGUCCCGCAACGAGAGCAACCCUUAUCCUUUGUUGCCAGCGGUCCGGCCGGGCACUCAAAGGAGACUGCCAGUGAUAAACUGGAGGAAGGUGGGGAUGACGUCAAGUCAUCAUGGCCCUUACGACCAGGGCUACACACGUGCUACAAUGGCAUGUACAAAGAGAAGCGACGUCGCGAGAGCAAGCUGACCUCAUAAAGUAUGUCGUAGUCCGGAUUGGAGUCUGCAACUCGACUCCAUGAAGUCGGAAUCGCUAGUAUUCGUGGAUCAGAAUGCUGCGGUGAAUACGUUCCCGGGCCUUGUACACACCGCCCGUCACCCCAUGGGAGUGUGUUGCAAAAGAAGU
rnacentral:rRNA from 1 species